GGGGAAAUAUUGUUGGGAUCGGGUAUGCUAAUAAACAAAAGAAAUAGAAAGGAUAAGUGUGGCUGUAUAGAUGUUGUCCUUUGGGUAGCAAAUAAUGCUUUUACAAUCCAACUAUGAACUUUUCUUUUUCUUUUUUUUUAAUUCUGAAUUUUUUUCUUUUUUUAUACACUAAACUGAAUAUAAUAGAAAGAUUUGAACACAAAAUAAUUUUUUUUCAAAUUUUUUUCGAAUUUUUUUACAAACUCAUAAUACAAAUUACAACGAUUCUUACUCUAAUACAGCUAGCUCUGAUACCAACUUGAUACGCACUUGCCU
rnacentral:lncRNA from 1 species